rnacentral:rRNA from 1 species
AUUGAACGCUGGCGGCAGGCUUAACACAUGCAAGUCGAGCGAGCGGCGGACGUGUGAGUAAUGUCUGGGAAACUGCCUGAUGGAGGGGGAUAACUACUGGAAACGGUAGCUAAUACCGCAUACCAUCAGAUGUGCCCAGAUGGGAUUAGCUAGUAGGUGUGGUAAUGGCUCACCUAGGCGACGAUCCCUAGCUGGUCUGAGAGGAGGACCAGCCACACUGGAACUGAGACACGGUCCAGACUCCUACGGGAGGCAGCAGGGGGGAAUAUUGCACAAGGGGGGAAAGCCGGAUGCAGCAAGGCCGCGUGUGUGAAGAAGGCCUUCGGGUUGGAAAGCACUGUCAGCGAGGAGGCGUUACUCGCAGAAGAAGCACCGGCUAACUCCGUGCCAGCAGCCGCGGUAAUAC